CAACGAAGCCGGCUCCUCUCUCCCCGCUCGUCUCCUCCUCUCCCCCACGCCGCCCCUCCUCUCCUCUUCCCUCGACGCCGGCUCCCCUGUUUGCUACCCGGGCCAGAGCCUCUCCGACCGCUCCCCCCAGCCGGCGCCCACUAGCUACUCUCCAGAUUCAUCCUCCCCGAGGUCCGGGUACGGAGAUAGUCGUGGUGGCAGGGGGCAGAUGCAUGAGGAGGAGGAGGCCGUGGUCAUGGUGGCGUGGCUCGCUCGCCGCCGUCAAACUCGCGCCCCCCCUUUUCCCCGCCCCCUCCCUGGCGUCCUUACCUCUGCCAUAGCCUUCGAGCCUCCCUCUCCAUCGACCUUCCCGUUCUCUCCCUCUUCGGUCACUCGGUGGACAUCGGGGAGGAAGGAGGUGCGAGGCUUGGAACUCUCCUUGUGAAGGGCUCAGGGACAUUGGCCAGGCGCAUGGCAGGUGUCCAGCUCGACAUCUCGGCAACAGCAACAAGAGCAGAGCAAUGAGAUCGCAAAGUCUAUGAUACCUUUCGCUUCCUGCUUGAUUCACUUGGUUCCUCCGCUGAUUUCUCCUUGUUUUCCCAGGGUUGUUGUGGUUGUAGAAUGGCGCGGAGCAACUGGGAAGAGGACAAGCAAACAGAAGCAGGCUUCCUGGUUGAUUAGAUGUUUGGCAUUUCGCUUGAAUAAGAAGCUAUUUCUCAAGCAGAGGAAUACAGUUAUGCUGCGCUCUUCCAUUUUUCAGGCUUUGGUUUUCACUGAUAUCAAGAUAAAGUUGCUUCGCAUGGAGCUUCAGUAAGGUUGCUCACCAAUGAGCUGGAAGUGUUUUUUUCCUGGGUACUUGCACGAUUGAGGAAGAGACUGGUUAUUUCUAAAUGUGCUACUGCAGAUAAAAGAUGAACUCAUCCUAUUUCCUUUCUUCAAUCUCAGGCUAGAUAGAUACAAAAGGUUUAGUAAAGGAGGACUCAAGUCUGCAACCACCAUAGAGAUAUGGCCAUGGCCCAUGGAAGUAUGGAACAAUAGUGUGUGGAUGUUCUAUGCAAUUUUUCUCUCAUCGAGCUAUGCCUCCCGUCUCACUGGGCCAAGGCUCGACUUUCCUACCAUAUACUCCUUCCGUAAAGAAAUAUAAGAGCGUUUAGAUCACUAAAGUAGUGAUCUUUAGUGAUCUAAACACUCUUAUAUUUCUUUACAGAGGGAGUAUUUGUUUUCUUUGCUGCAAAGUAUUUUGAGAUUAUAGUGUGUUGAGCAUGCAAUCCUGAUUCCUGGAAAAAAAGAUUAUGUAGUCUAUCGCACAUGCUCGGUUUCAGAGUAAAUCCAAAGCCAUUUGCUGCCUCUUGAAUUUUUGGUUCUACCUCAUGCACAAAAUCUCUCAUGGUUCUACUUCUACCUUUCUGCCUCUUGAAUAUUAUCUGUUGAUUGGCUUAUUGAUGUUUGCUACUGCGCAUAUUAGUUCCCUAGGGUCGUAAAAAAACUACAUUUCUACUCUAUGAUUAUGUCUCAAACAUGUUUUCUAGAUUGCAAGUUUGAUUUCUUUGUCUUCCACAUGGUUGGUUUAGUUUCUCACCUUGCAUAAAAAUUUAGGUUGGAAUGUUGCCAGUCCAGCCUAUGCUGAUGAUGUAUCUGCUAUAAUGGGAUCAUGACAGAAAUUAUUUAUUUUGUUAUAUACCUGCAUCUCACUUUGUUAAUUUACACAACGCCAUUUCAUAUUUACAUUUAAUUGUACUCCCUCUGUUCUUGAAAAGAAGGCAUAUCAAUUUUGGUCAAAGUCAAAUAAUGUAAAGUUUGACCAAGUUAAUCCAACAAACUUAUACGUUUUCUUUCCAGGCACGGAGGGAGUACCUACUUAGUUUGAUUACUGCAUCUAAAGUUUAUUUCUGCUUCUACUAAUACUUCACCUUCAUUUCUGUACUUACAUUUAAAUUAUGCACCUACUUUAUUUCUACUUCUACUUUUUCUCUGCACCUACAGUAUCAGUGUUGUAUCUGCUUGUGGAGCUAUGCUCUGUUGCAUUGAGCUAAGAUUGAUUGCAUGCAGGGGUAUGUCAAGGUGUAGGUGCAGACUCAUUGUUGGUGUUGAAUACUGGAGUAAGAAUGAUGAUCAAUACUCUAAUGAACCUGCAUGAUGUAGCGUUACUAUUAGGAUAUAUGGGUUAUGCACAUGCUCUUUUUUGACAGUAGGUUAGACAAGUGUGGUUUUUUCAGUUUUUCUGUGUCGAUUUCUCUACUGUAAAGCAAAGGCUGGUUGUUAGUCUUUGGAGUCGAGAGUAUUUUUUUACUUGGAAGAUCGCAACAUUGCCGAUAGAAGAAUGAGUUUUAUAGCAAAUCAGGUUCAGACUUCUAUACUACUGCUUACAUCACCAUGAUGGUUGGAAUAUAAUUAAGACUUUGUUCCUGGAUGAUGAGAUCAUCUAUGACAGUGAUGGGCGGUGCACUGUGAUUGUGAGUAUCUAUAUAGAUCACGUUAACACAUGCGUUUGUCCACCAUGCUCACUAUCCAGUUACGCCACACCAAAUUCCUAUUGUAAUUGGUUGGCUAUAUGACAGCAGUGUACUAUUGUUCUGUGUUGGUGCUUAUCCAAUCAAACAUAGUAUGUACUUAUUUGAACCCGGCCUCACCGGCAUCCUGAGGUGACACAGCGACGGCCGCGCUCAACACCCUCUUUCGCGACUCAACGACAGCCUAGCGUCAUAGGCGGCUCAUACGGUGGUCCAGUGGAUGGCGACCCAUUUGGGUGGGCGACGAGGACCGCAGCUGGUGCACGAGCUUACACUCAACCUGUCCAUACUCAACUCUUCGUCUCGGUUGCGGACUGAGAGUUGGAUGCUCUGUGCCAGCAUAUGGAAGUGUUGUGACCACUGUUGUUCCGGCUGUGAGGUAUAAUGCUAAUUGGGCUUGUGAAUUUAUCGUGUCUUGGAAUGGAUUGCCGAAUUGUUGGGGUUUUCUCAGUAUGUAGUUUCUUUUACUUAUUUUUUAUUCUCAUAAUUCAGUGGUCCUUGAUUGCAACCUGGUGUCAUCCUGUUCCUACUCACAUGUUAUAGUAGUGCACGAGCUGACAGGGAAGAAAUCUUGGUUUCAAAGUUCUCUUUGUCCGUGGCCAGCUGAGUCGGGUCUACAUAACUUUGCUAUCCGACAGAUAUAGCUAUUUUAUUUUCCCAUUCAAUUAGGCAAUCUUUUGAGGAGGUUAAAAUGAGUUAUAUUUUGGGCAUGCUUGAUGGCUAUUUGUAUGUUGGGUCAUGUUAGUGGUGUUCUUUAUUUGUUCAUGGGUCAGAUUGUUUGUUUGGUCUUAUGGUUUACACGUUUGUCUUGACAGUGUUGAUAUGUUUAUAUAGUACUUUUGGAAUGGGAUAUGAUUCUUUUUGGGCUUUUUAGUUUAUGCAUUCUUUCUAAGAAUCUUGAUAUCCGGCUGUGUUGUUGUAGAUUUGUAUUUUUUUUCUUGGGAUCCAUCUAUUCAGCCAUGUUGGAGUAGGCUAUAUGAUUUUUUUAGUUCUGACCACAUGCGCUUCUUCCUUGGUCUGUUCACCAAGGUUUUCUCCCUUCCUUUCUCACUAUUGAUGCACUAGCUUUGUUUCAGUAUACUCUUAUGAUGCUCUGCGUCUGUGAUGAUCCACCACCAACUGAGUCAUGGACACCGACUUAAAAAAUGAACAAGGCUACCCCUUCAGCUGCAGGUGCAUGGUACCAUGUCUGGACUUGGCUUUUGAUUUCAAUUCGUCUUGCUUUUUUGUACUAAAUCUUUGAUUCAUGCUUUUUCUCUCUUCAAUAGUAAAUCAUCUUGCAAUACCCAUGGUGCCACACGUGUUUUAUUCACCAAUCCUAUCAAGAGAAAUCAAAAUCAAGACGCCGAUCAGCUUAGCCUUGGGCUGCUCCUUUUCUGCCUUUUGUUUCUUGUAUACACUCAUCUUUCUUUGAUGUACCUGAAUUUCUUUUUGUUGUGUUAGGUUGACAAUGACACUGCAGAUGUAGCUUCUCUGACCGCUGCCGGCUUAACCAGACAAAGACAAAGUGCUAUGAUGUAGGCAUGGUUUAAAAACUAGAGCCUUUGGCUGGUCAAGUAGCCUUGCCAAAGCGUUUGUGUAAUCUCUUCAAGUGGUAUGAAGCAAAUUCUAUGUAUGUAACACGCAGGAAGCAGAUAAUAAUUAUAUAGAAGCAGAGAAUCAACCUUGCUAGAGCGUUUGUCAAAUCUCUGCUCGAGUAGCCUUGCCAAACUUUAUCUGCUGUGUUCUUUAC